CCUGGGUUCUCAGAGAUCACCAAACUAAACACCCUAAUACUGCCGACUGCCGAGCCAUUUCCUUGCACAUACAUGAUGUUGCCAGCAGCUCACUGCGCGGAGACGACACAGCAAUGGCCAAUGGCCGGCGUGGUCGCCUUUGUCUUGUCUUGCUUGUCCAUGCCCAAAGGCUCGCUAGACGACGCGGGUGGGUCGCACUGCCGAUUUUUCGCCGUGCAACGCCGCCGCCGACGACGACGCGGCCGGCGCCAGCAGUCACUUGGAGCACCUGCGCAGCAUCUGGCGCAUGCCGUCGGCGACCCGGAACGCGGGGCUCCGCCUGCACUUGCCGCAGAAGGCCAUGUGGUCCCGGAGCGCGUCCUCCAGCCCCGCGGCGGUGGGGCCUCUGGCCGUCGUGCCCCUGGCCGCCUCGUCCCGCACCGCCUCGGAGCAGAGGCCGCAAAGCCACCGCCCGCCGAAGGCCGCGCGCACGCCCAGGAUGUAGUCCCGGG
rnacentral:misc_RNA from 1 species